UACAAAAUCAAGGUUUAUUGUAUGCACAAUACAGGCUGGCAGGGAUCUUGUUAGCGCAGCAGCAAGAGGAGGUGGUACCCCGCCUUUCUAGAGGGCAUUGUGUAAAGGCAAAACCCAGAAGAGUUACGUUAGCAGGGUGUGGGGGUGACGGGUUCAGUCCUGAUUGGCUCGUGUCUAGGGACUUUUCAGAAAUUUUAUUUUGAACCUCGCCUGUUGCUUGUGAAGUUUUCUUAUCGGCUGACCUUCGGGUGGGAACAUUCUGCUGUCCUCUGUACUUUCCAGAUGGCUACCCUGUUACUUUGCCCGGAGCCAUUUCUGAGGACUGGAGUGUUUUACAGGAAAUAGCUUACACAAGACACAAGAUGGAGGCGGAGGACAAAAUGGAGGAACUUUGGUUCUUCACAACCCAUCCAUAGUGAUGUUGGUGGCCCACUGAGGUGAUGGUGGGGGUCAGGUGGCCUGUUGUGGUUACUGUUCUUGUGGCUGUGAUAAAAAUCCCCAUCAGAGCAGCUUAGGGAAAGAAGGGUCCCUUGUGGUUCUCAGCAGGGAUGAUUCUGUCUGCUAAGGUGGGGUGGGGCUCUAGCUGUGGCGGCAGGAGCCAGGCAGCCGGGUCACAUAGCAUCCUGCAGGCAGCCAGGGGCAGAGAGAUGCACUCUGGAGCCCAGCUCUCUUUCCCCCUUUCCGUCAGUGUGGGACCCUGUUCAUGGCAGUGCCUUGUCUCCGAGGCGAUCCCAGAGUGCAUGGAAUGGACGAGACGAGUCACCCCAGUAUCUUAUGCUGAAAUAUGUCACUGUGACAUAGCAACUAUUUUAAGCUAAAAGAACUGGUGAAAAUGCAAAGCUAGGAAGGGCACCCUUUUUCCAUGAGCAAGUCACAAAACCUAGGAAGUAAUCUGCCUUCUGUCUUGGCUUGCCUCACCUCUUACCUCCAACCUCCCCCCAACCCCCUGUUGUGUAUGAGCACGCAGUCACACACUUGCGUCACGUAGGGUCAGAGUCAACUUUAGCUGUUGUUCUCUGGUUGAUAUUUAUCUCAUGAGUCACUGGCCUGGAGCUCACUAAGUAGGCCAGGUCAGUGACGGCUUGAGGGCAUAUGUAAAAGUGUCACGAGGGUACAGAACACACCAGGGUGGCAGUCUGUUCACGGUCUUGAUUAUGAGGGUGGUUCACUAUAGGUCACUAUAGGCACUAUAGGUGCCUGGGGCCACCGAGCCCCAGGCAUGACCCUUCCCCAGCGCCUGACAUUUUUUAAUGUGGAUUCUGACGACCAAACUCAGGAUAUCAUGUUUGUGCGGCAUUUCCUGCCUGAGCUAUCUCUCCAGCGGGAUAAAGCACGGGAAGGGAUUUCUGCCCUGCUGUGCUGCCUGCCCUUGAGGAGUUCCCGGUCCCCUUUCCUUUGUCACAGGCCUCUUUCUUCCCCAUUUCACCAACCCUUUGGGUCUUCAGUUUUUUUCAGAUGCGUCAAAGUUUUACCAAGUCUACCUGCAUGCAGUAUUCUUUAUUUUUAUUUAUUUUGACACAAACUUCCCUACCUGUCCUGGAAUUAGCUCUGUAGAUCAGGCUGGCCUCGAACUCAGAAAUCCACCCGGCUCAGCCUCUCCCAAGUGCUAGGAUUAAAGCCAUGAUCCCUGCCUGCCGUAUUCUCCUCCCUCUCCGUUUGCAGUACCGCAGUUGAGACGUACGCGGGAGGUUUGCAGCCGGACAGGGAUGUGCAGCACAGAUACCCGGCUCAGAUUCCUUGUACACUUCCUGAGGAAGGGUUUUAAGUCAUCUCCAGGAGAGGCAGGAAGACUCCCUGUGAUCUGUGGUGGCUGCUCCAACCAAUCGCAAUUGAAAAAUCACUAUCAAAUCCAAGAUCACCAGACAUUGUUUCUGUUUCUUACCUGUACCCCCGAUAAUAAACCUUGAAGCCAGGUCCUCACACACACCAGGGUCUGUUCUAUGUGGCUACCUCCUUUAGUCAUACGUGUUUAGAAUGGGUGAUGAUACUGGAAGAGGCCACAGAAGACUCAAGUCUACAGGCUGCCACUUCUAGCUGUUUAGGCUAGGUGUGGUGGUGCAAAGAAAACCAGCCUACAAAUCACAAUCCCAGAGAACCUAGACAACGAUGAGGACUCUAAGAGACAUGGAUCUAACCUACAUGGGAAGUAGAAAAGGACAAGAUCUCUUGAGUAAGUUGGGAGCAUGGGAACCAUGGGAGAGGGCAGAAUUGGAGGGGAGAAGAAGGGAGGGCAGUGGAGAAAAAUAUAUAACCUCAAUAAAAACAACAAAAAAAACUAUGAAUAAAAAUGUGUUUAUUGUUUUUGGGUGCCUGGGAUGACCUGGAGCAUUUCACCCUCCUGAGUGUCAGCCUCCUCUUGUCCUCGGAACAGUCACCUUUCAAGUAAAGAUAGAAAUGCCCAUCCUUCCAUGUUUCCUUCUCUAGCUGUCUAGGAUUCCCUGGAUAGAAACAAGAAGAACAGCAAAAGCAGUUGUUUUUCCUUCACCAGCUUGAGAGAAAAUGGGGAAGUCAGUAUUUAUAGUGGAUUCUAAUUUUUGAUCAAUUUCCACUGCAUUUUAUUUUUAUUCUGUCUUUCCCCCUCUCUCCCUCUCUUCCUGAGAGGGAGAAUGUGAAUACCUCUCUGUGUGCUGGCAGGGAGGAGUCCAGGCAAGGACACCAAUCCUUUGCUGCUGGGGUUAGAAGCGGCUUGUGAGCCUCCAGGGUGUGGGAAGCAUUCCCCAGCCCUCUGGCACAGCAGCCAUUACUCUUAGCCACUGAGCCCUCUCCAGUUCUUCACCACAUUUUAAAGAAGCAAAUAAUUUAUAUAAAAGGUACAUAAAAUAUCUUAAGGAUAUUGAGUAGUUUAAUUAGGAUUCACUGUUAUUUCAUUUUAAUAAUCUCAACUGUGCAUGCGUCAUUAGUUUUCUAUUAAUUUCCUUAUUAUGGUCAUGUCUCUUUAUAAAGCAGAGCUAUUAAAAUUAAUGUUCUACAACAUAAAGGAUAAUUAGUUUAUUGUAAUCUUUAAUGGUUCUAGAAAGAUUAAUUUCUGUCAAACUAUUUUUUUUACUUCUGAGUCUUAACUCUAAGCCUGGGAUUCUGUUAUUGUGGAAAAAAGAGGAUUCUCUUUGAAUACUUUGCUUUAUUUGAGUGUUUUCAUUUGUUGUUGUGUUUACUGUCCAGAUUUCAGGGUCCAAAUUUCACUUUGGUCCUUAAACAAUGGCAAGGAAGACUGAGGGCUGACAAGAGGGUAGUAAUUGCAGUGGGUCGUGGUUGCCACUAGAUGUCCUUGUGUGGAUGCUCUGUCUACCUAAAGACUUUAAAAUAAUGAGCUGCCCAAUUAAAAAAUGGGGCACUGAACUAAACAGAGAAUUCUCAAAAGAAGAAGUUCAAAUGGCCAAAAGACACCUAAGGUCAUGCUCAACCUCAUUAGCAAUCAGGGAAAUGCAAAUCAAAACAACUUUGAGAUAUCAUCUUACACCUGUCAGAAUGGCUAAAAUCAAAAGCACCGAUGAUAGCCUUUGCUGGAGAGGCUGUGGAGGAAGGGGUACCCUCAUCCAUUGCUGGUGGGAAUGCAAUCUUGUGCAACCACUUUGGAAAUCAGUGUUUCGGUUUCUCAGGAAAUUCGGGAUCAACCUACCCCUGGACCCAGCAAUACCACUCUUGGGAAUAUACCCAAGAGAUGCCCUAUCAUAUGACAAAAGCAUUUGUUCAACUAUGUUCAUAGCAGCAUUAUUUGUAAUAGCCAGAACCUGGAAACAACCUAGAUGCCCUUCAAUGGAAGAAUGGAUGAAGAAAGUGUGGAAUAUAUACACAUUAGAGUAUUAUGCUGCGGUAAAAAACAAUGACUUCUCGAAUUUUGCAUGCAAAUGGAUGGAAAUAGAAAACACUAUCCUGAGCGAGGUAACCCAGACCCAAAAAGAUGAACAUGGGAUGUAUUCACUCAUAAUUGGUUUCUAGCCAUAAAUAAAGGUCACGGAGUGUAUACCUGGUGAACCUAAAGAAGCUAAAGAAGAAGGUGAACCCAAGAAAAAACAUAUAGUUAUCCUCUUGCCUAAGGGAAGUAGAUAAAAUUGCCGGGGACAAAAUUGGGAUCUUGGGGGUGG